UACGUAGGGUCCGAGCGUUGUCCGGAAUUACUGGGCGUAAAGAGCUCGUAGGUGGUUUGUCGCGUUGUUCGUGAAAACUCACAGCUUAACUGUGGGCGUGCGGGCGAUACGGGCAGACUUGAGUACUGCAGGGGAGACUGGAAUUCCUGGUGUAGCGGUGGAAUGCGCAGAUAUCAGGAGGAACACCGGUGGCGAAGGCGG
rnacentral:rRNA from 1 species